rnacentral:rRNA from 1 species
GACGAACGCUGGCGGCGUGCCUAAUACAUGCAAGUCGAACGCUUCUUUCCUCCCGAGUGCUUGCACUCAAUUGGAAAGAGGAGUGGCGGACGGGUGAGUAACACGUGGGUAACCUACCCAUCAGAGGGGGAUAACAUUUGGAAACAGGUGCUAAUACCGCAUAACAGUUUAUGCCGCAUGGCAUAAGAGUGAAAGGCGCUUUCGGGUGUCGCUGAUGGAUGGACCCGCGGUGCAUUAGCUAGUUGGUGAGGUAACGGCUCACCAAGGCCACGAUGCAUAGCCGACCUGAGAGGGUGAUCGGCCACACUGGGACUGAGACACGGCCCAGACUCCUACGGGAGGCAGCAGUAGGGAAUCUUCGGCAAUGGACGAAAGUCUGACCGAGCAACGCCGCGUGAGUGAAGAAGGUUUUCGGAUCGUAAAACUCUGUUGUUAGAGAAGAACAAGGACGUUAGUAACUGAACGUCCCCUGACGGUAUCUAACCAGAAAGACACGGCUAACUACGUG